rnacentral:rRNA from 1 species
UACGUAGGGUGCAAGCGUUGUCCGGAAUUAUUGGGCGUAAAGAGCUCGUAGGCGGUUUGUCGCGUCUGCUGUGAAAACUCGGGGCUUAACUCCGGGCCUGCAGUGGGUACGGGCAGACUAGAGUGCGGUAGGGGAGACUGGAAUUCCUGGUGUAGCGGUGAAAUGCGCAGAUAUCAGGAGGAACACCGGUGGCGAAGGCGGCCUGCUGGGCAGUAGCUGACGCUGAUGCGCGACAGCGUGGGGAGCAAACAGG